rnacentral:rRNA from 1 species
UACAGAGGUCCCAAGCGUUGUUCGGAUUCACUGGGCGUAAAGGGUGCGUAGGCGGUUUUGUAAGUCUUGUGUGAAAUCUUCAGGCUCAACUUGAAGACUGCACGAGAAACUGCAGGGCUUGAGUGUGGGAGAGGUGAGUGGAAUUCCUGGUGUAGCGGUGAAAUGCGUAGAUAUCAGGAGGAACACCUGUGGCGAAAGCGGCUCACUGGACCACAACUGACGCUGAUGCACGAAAGCUAGGGGAGCAAACAGG